UCGCGGUGUUUUGUUUCGUGCCCUUGCAGAGCCGCUGUCGCUGCGAUGGUCGGCUACUGGGAGAUCCCGGAGGGGACCGACUGCGUCCGCAAGGCCUGGAUCACCGGCCGCCUUGGGGCUGCGCUGGGCUUGAUUGGUUCGGCAUAUCAUAUUGUAUUGUUCCAGCCUGAGUCAGUCUUUAAGGGUGUGCAAACGGCAGCUACGAGCACUGUCACAAUGGCUACUUUGGGAGCAGUAUUUGGAUUGACCACUUGCCUCAGUGCCCACAUCCGGGAGGACCCAGAGGAUGCCCUGAAUUAUUUCAUAGGCGGUUGUGCAUCAGGCAUUGUCUUGGGUGCAAGAAUGGUGUAUCAGCAGUCCUGUGUACUGGGACAGCUACCUCAGCUGUCUCCACAUGGACACUGUCCAGGAACUGCUCGUGGAUUCGGAUGCUCCUCAACCUAGCCACCUCCUCCUGUAGCUCUCCCACCUGCUGCCUGAGAGAUUCCACCAGCAGGCACCUUUCACAUUGGAUGGUCCCCCCAGCCUGGAUAUCACUCACAGCUAUGCCACUGGUUCCUCAGCAUGUGUGGCGCUAGGACUUCUGGCUGCUUUUACAAAGAUAGGCAAGCGAGAAGGCUGGAAGAUAAUAGGACCUCCCAGACUCUAAAUGUAGGCUGGCUCCUGUCUCGGAAAUGUUUUUCAAAUGUCCUGUGUAAUAAAUUAUCCUGGAAUAACACAGA